UCUCACAAUCCAGCUAAGGAAUCGGGCAACAAAGAAAAUUCGAGAAAAAAAUGACGAGAAAAGGAAAAGGAAAGAAAAAGAGGGAAGGAAAAUUAAGUUAUGUUCUUCAAUUCCUUCAUGUCUUAGAGUGGCAAGGAAGUAAAUUGUUUAUGCAGAUAGCAUCUUUGUUGAGCAGCCUUGGAGCCUGUCGAUCCACCGAGUACAACACACACACAUUGUCAUUAAAUGUGUGACUCAUUUCGUCAAUUUAUAUAGUUCAAAUUUCUUUUAGUGUACAUGUAUGUUUUGACAAAAAUGUUAAUUGGUAAUUUAUAGAUUCAUAUCAUGGGCUCACUGCAUAUUUAAUAUUCUCAUUGUUUUUAGGUCUUUUGUUUAUAAAGCAUGGUAAAUGUCUUGAAUAGUUUGUAUUUUGAAGGACUAGCGUGUUAUAUUUUAAAUUAUAUGUACAGUUUUGAUAAUGUUGAUAUU